GUAGGAGCAAGAGGACAGCGGCCUGCCAACAGGUUGUUCCAGGCGGUAGGCGGCUUUGGGGUCGCCCCAGGAGUCCAGCUGAGAGAGACCAAUGGGAUUUGAAAAUGGCCUUGAUGAUUCAGACGGCCGUGACGUCAGCGGGGUCAAGUUGUCGGCAGGCGGAGCGCUCAGCAUGGAGUAACAGCGCCACCUAGCAGCUGCCUCGGGGGAAUAUUUCUGAAGAAAAAGACCGAACCUGCAGGGACUUUGAUCGGAUUCGGGGAGUCGCAUAUCAACACGAAAAAUGAGGACAUCGGACGUAACCAAAUCCGACCCAGAGCCAUUGGGCUGGAAGCAUUUUUAUUUUUUUUUAAAGGAGAAGUGAGGCCGGUCUGUUUUUGUUAUUGUUGUUAUUGUUUAAUAAAGGGAAGGAAAAAAAGGGAAAUACAUGUUUCAAAUAGUUCUUUCCGUUUCUCCAUCGCUUUUCUCCCAAAGCGAACAAAACUCUCCACCCCUUCCUCAGGAAACGGAAUCAGGAGAAUAACUUGUCUUUCCGGUAGCCCCGCAUUUUUCUCUGGACAGAGCCUGGGGUUUCGACUUUCCGAAGUGCUGAAGCCAAGCCGGGAAAGGACCCUAACGCCGAGCGCCCUGGCGUGGUCGAGUAAGGAGGCUGGACCGCUUCUAGGGAGGCCCAAGCCAGCGCGGCCAGAAGAGGACUGUGGAAAAAAAUCUGCUGAAUUCCCUCACCCACGGACUGAAAGACAAGGCGCAGGGGUCCCUGAACCCCCAGAAAAUUGGAAGGAGAUAUGGAGUGUGUGACUUGCUUGCAGAACGGACAGGGGAGAUUUGAAAUUAGUUUUGUGUUUUCAUUUGCAGGGGUCGCCUGGCCUCAGCAUGGGGGUUGUCCCGGGCAAGGUUAGGCUGUUUAGGCCCCAGACCAGACUUGGGACAGCCUGGGCAGUAGUCAAUCCAGGGAGCCAUUUGUCCCACCGCCCAUCCCCGGGGAAACAGCCCAGACUUUAUGGCCACUCUGUUUGUAUUAUCUGCAUAAGUCUUUCCCCACCAGUUUGAUCGAAACCGUUCCCUUUUACGAGGACCCAACGAAAAUUUCCCGUCAUAUUUAUCAGCUGAGGAUAAAAAUUUAGUAUGGGAACUGAUAUUUCCUCAUUUAUGGGACGAUGAAAUUAAAGACCAAAGCAAUUGAGAAUUAUAUGGCUUUGGGGGGUUCCCUCCCCCCUCUUUCAUGUCUCCUUUAUUUUCCUGCCUGGUUUGUCUGUCCCUGGAGUUUGUUUUCCCAAUCCCCUGCCCUUGUCCCCUGUUUUGGAGUCUAAUGGUCCCUUCCCCCUGACCAGGUGCUGCCUAGCUACCUAAGAUUUUUCUGGCCUUUUUCUCUGUGUUAGUGGCUGAGGGCUGGAGCAGCACUCUCUCUCCGAUCCCCUACCCAGGCCAGGCUGGGACUGAUGGAAGGUGAUGAGGGAAGAGCCUCCAAGAUGAAUCCAAGCCCAGCCUGGGAGGGGAUGGUAGGAGUCCCAGAAGAGGGUGAAAGAGAUAAAUUCUCAAAAACAAGUCCCCAGGCAAAAGCUGAAGAGCCGGCAGGAGAGGAACAAAAUCACUGGGCCUCCAGUCUCUCUCCCCCUUACCAGCCUGACCCCCAUCCCAAAUCUACCACCUACCUCAGCCAGGGGAAGGGAUAGAGUUGCUUCAGAAUCCUUGCUAUUAUUAAUGGAAAUAAUACCCUUGGGAGAAAGCCUCCCACCUCCUCACAAGAACGGAUAGUGUUUAAAGUUGAAAUAAUUAGAAGUAUGAUAAACACGGCCCAUUAAUGGAAAAAGAAAUCAAAUUCAUCAGCUUAAGUGGGACCCCCGGUGGGACAAAUGUUUGCCUCUAAUUACUCAAGAUAAACGAAAACCCAGAGCCGUUAAACAAGAGCCCGCUCUUGCUCGGACAGUCACAGACUUGAAUAACUUGUUGGGUUUUUGCAGACUUUGGGAUUCUACCUCAGUGAAGGUAAAAGGAAGAAAGAAGUAAGAAAGAGUGGGCCAGGCGAAAAGAGUAUUUGUGUGGCUCCAAAGAAGUCCAGCCUGGUCUGGUUCCCAGCCCUGCCCCCUUGGGCUCCGUCUUUCCCGAGGCCAUGAGCAAAGGCAGUUUCCAUCCUAUUGUCUGGGCCUGGCGUUCAAAGGCAUGCUGGCCACCACAGUCACCCCGCCUGCCACUACUGCCAGGUGCCCACCAGCUCUGCUCACAGGACCAAGACUCUCAGCCUGCACCCUUGGCAACUGGAUUGGGGCUUAGGAGAAGUCUGUGUCACCCCUGUACCAAUUCUUAUUAAGCCACUCUCCAACUUCCCGAGAUUGCGGAGAGACCUGCACCUAAGACUGACUCUGGGAUUCUUCUUACCUCAGCUUGGGGACCCAAAUAUCCAUGGCUGCAGGCCAGAGUUGGGGCUCAGGCUCUGCAUGUUCUGGACAAAUCUCACCCGCCCCAGAAGCCCUGGCAUCUUUUGCUCUUCGUGCCUGGUACCCAGACUCUGAAGGGGCAGCAAGGACGGGCCUGGGCCUCCUGCCGGCUGAGGGUUUCUGAGUAAGGGAGACAAGGAGGGUUUCCAGAGCUCCUGGCAUGCUCCAGGAGGAUCCAGUGGUUCCACAUAGCAGGCCAAGGGCUGAGGCAUGAGGGGUCCCCAUUAAAAGCAGAAGAAAGUGUCGUACUCAACGGACAGAAAGGAAAUUCGGCUGUUUUCCGGGCCGUAGCCCUCAGGUCACCCCAGAAGCACCAUGAUUUCUCCAGUGAAAAUUGUCUGUUUCCCCAAGUGUUUAAGGAAGUCAUCUGGGAAAUUUUAGA